GGCUCCGGUAGCUCAGUGGGAGAGCUCCUGUAGUUGGUGAUCGAAAGCGCCUAGCAAUAACUGCGAGGAGGUCGCAGGUUCGAAUCCUGCCCGAUGGCUA